AAGAACCUGAUAUCCUACCCCUUGUAGCCACCCCUUUCUCAUGUGUGACUGAAGACUGCAUUACUCUAUUUUUUAGUCACCAUUAGAAGCAACUAACUGGGUACUUGAGUACCUGACUUGGGUACCUGACUCAGAAGUUAAUAGUGUCUCAGUUUUACCAUUCUAUAACUGUCAGGAAGCUAAGCAAACCUAGGCGUCAAGGACCCUGCCCCUCCCCAUGCAUGCUUGGAUUCUCUUAAUCCCUGACUCUCUGAGCUACUUCUCCAGUACAACCCCAAUGGGAUGGCCUUCUUCCCCUACUUACUGUUCUUUCCCUGCAAUUAGCUUCUAAGAACAAGCUUCCAGGGCACGGGUUCUCAACCUGCGGGUCUUGACCCCUUAGGAAAUUACUGAAUGACUCUUUCACAGGGUUUGCCUCAGAGUGUCAGAAAACAGUUAUUUACAUUAGAAUUCAUAAAUAGCAAAAGCACAGUUAUGAAGUAGCAAUGAAACAAUUUAAUGGUUGUAGGUCACCAUAGCAAUGAGGAACUGUAUCAGAGUCACAGGAAGGAAGGUUGAGAACCACUGCUAGAGGCAAGGAACUUAGAACCCAAGCAGAGUUCUGAGAUCCCUGAAGAUAGGGACCGUGACACUGUGUCUGCCUUCCAUAAGGAUUCAUUCUCAAGAUCAGACUCUUGAGAAUGGUUUUUGUCACCACGAAAUAAUAGAGCUGGUGCUUGCAUGCACAUGUGUCUGGGGAACCGUUCUUGCCUGAGGAAAGUGUGUCCUCAAAGAGCAUGGGGCAGACGUUCAUGUGGAAAUGGGGGAUCCCUUUGCGCUUUGAAGCAGUAAAUGAUAGGACAAGAAGGGAAACAACUCGCCCAGGACAAAGUACUCUUCUCACAGCUGACUGCAGUAUUUACCUACAAGUGCGUGUUGCCCGGAGAACGUAUGCACUCGGAUGCUCACCAACUCACCCAGGGGAGGCAUGAGGAAAUUGGAAGUCAAGUUUAGGGAGUCCCAGAGUGGCAGCCUGGAGCAGUCGGAAGACUUGGGAUGUAUGAUUCAGAGGUGUGCAUCACCAGCUGGAUAUGCACCAGUAAGGACCCCCGCCUCCUAGUCCAUGAACGACUCCAAGUUACUACUGGAAUAAAGAAACAAGGUUAAACUUCCUCAUACUGGUUCCAGGGCAUCUGUUGGUAGGGCUUGAGAGUCCCUGAAGAAUCAAAGGCCACCUUGUUCACUAAAUGAGACAACUAGUCCAUGUGGGUCAAGCUGGGCACUCACCCUGGUGGCCACAUGCUGGUCAGCUUGUGACGCUCAUGUGGGUGAGCCGAGGGUUGAUCUGAAUGCAGAAGAGCCGUUGGGUGUGUCUUGCCCUCCCUGCCACACAGCUCCAUUUUUCGUGGCCUUUUAAAGCAGGUCCUUGGUGCCAUUCAUUAUCUGCAGAUACCUUAGAACCCUGGCUACUCUUGAGACAUGUCAAGGCCGAAUUUAGUUUUCUCUCAGAGGAUGCCACACGACAAACCUGAUCCACAGUGCUUCCUCCCCAUCUGCUCCCGCUAUCGUAUCAUCAUAUUCUCUGUGUACGUGUCAGGAGCUUAGUAAAGGGUUCUCACUGUGAGCUUAUUUUCUCAGGGAGUCAGUGAGUCUGUAUGUGCUGUUAAGAAACAUUCGCUCUGUUGCUUCAAGUGCUGGGACUGUGGUCCUUUGGACCAGGCCAAGUGCUUUAUCCGCUGAGCCAUCCCUCAGCACUAAAAGCUCUAUUACCCUGAAGCUGUGCGAUGUGAUUAUUUUCUGUACAUGCAUCUGUGUGAGUUUGCAUAUGUGCAGGGAUACUGUGUGGAGGCCUGCGGAGGUCAGAGGUCAAUGUCCUUGUGCCUUCCCCAGGCUCUCUUCACCUUAAUUUUUGAGUUUGUUUGUUUUUCACCAAAUCCAGAGCUUGCCAUUUUUAGCUAGGCUGAAUGGUGAGUGAGCCUUAAGGAAUUGCCUGUCACCAUCCCUUGUCCCCUGGUCCUGUCCUCUUGUCAUGUCCACACAUGCCUCCCACAUCUGGGUUGCGGACACUCAUGGAGUUUGUCAUGGGCACUGAAGCCAGAACUCAGGCCCUCACACUUGCAUGGCAAGCAUUUUACCCACUGAGCCGAGUCCCUUUUCCUCCCUUAGGAAUAUUUUUGUCAAUAGAGUCUCAAGGAGUUAGACUCUAGUUACGGUGCAAUAUGUUGAAUGACCAGUUCUCUUGUCAUAAGUGUAAGGUCCCUCUGCUUUCCUAGACUCAUUUAUAAAAUGUAGGUAUUUUGAGCCUUUUAUUUUACUCUAUUAAUUUGCAAAGGGCUGCUACCAGUAUUGCACACUAUGAUAAUUUAGAUAGAAAGAAUAAACUUGAAUAUCUGACUGACAUGGUCCUGGGAACCAAACCUUUGCAAGGGCACCACAUGCUCUUAACCACUGAGCAGUCUUUCCAGGCCCAGACAGUUCUCUCCGAGUACACACUUCCAGUGACCGGGAAACCAGCUUUAGUCUCUGCCUGUCAAAGGUUGUAUCAUCUCCUAAUGGUCCCAUGCAAUGAAAACCAGGCUUUUAAGACAUGGCCUCUGGGGGAGGUUCUAGAUGUAAGCUUCUCAAGUAGUGUCACAGGGAUUUUAGAGAGUCGCUUUGGCAGUCAGUAUGUAGUUAUAUUUGGUGUUUCCUCUCCCAAAUGCAUGCUUUCUGUUUUCUCCUCCUCCUCUUCUUCCCCCUCUUCUUCCUCUUCCCCCUCUUCUGCCUCCUCCUCCUCCUCCUCCUCCUCCUCUUCUUCCUCAUGUCUAAUUUACUGGCUGGUGCUUCUAGGGUGACAUUAGUUCACAGUGAUAGCAAAUGAUUUCUGCCUUAUAUCUGAUUGCAGAGAGGAUGUUUUUAUAGCAGUGUUCCCAAGGUUUCUGAAGUUGUUUAAAAGUGAAGAGACCUGACUACAGUUGUCCCUUCCUCUACUCCUCCCAGCUCCUCCCACCUCGCCUCCCAUCUGAAUUCACUUCCUUUCUGU
rnacentral:sRNA from 1 species